CUCUAAUUUGAUUUUUUUGAUUAAUCCCUCCACCCCCAAAAUCUGGCUUGGGUUUCGUCCCAUUCACUUUAACAUUAUCCAUCGGUUUCUCAUCAUCCUUCCAGCUUCUCUUCCCCAUCGUAGACGUCGCCCCUCCACCUUCCAGCUUCAUCAUCCACCACUGGUGCACCUCACUGCCACCAUUCCGGUAAAGCUCCACUAAAAACCCCUUUAUCAGUCCAUCUCUCCACGACGCCACCACCAAUGAUUGACGAAGACAAAGUUCACUGGAACCGUAGGUGGGCCAGAAAUCUCUAUCGGCUUUAGGUUUUUCCUCUCGAUUUCUCUUAAUUACCUUCAAUUGAUCCCAGCGAUGUAGGAUAUUGCAAAUGAGAAUGGUGACCAAGAAUAUACACAUGAGUUAAGCACUUAAACCUGACAUCUAUACAAGGUGUUGCAGGUACCAACAGAUUGAUAACUAACAAGAAUGGAUCGUGGUUUGAUGCCAGAGAGCAAAACUUCUCACCAACUCUCAUAAAUCUGUAGGCCAUUCAUGGGAGGAGAGAGAAUGAAGUACCCAUGAUUCUCUAUAGUGCGAUUUUUUAUGUAAAAUUUGAUUACAAUAUUCACCUUGAUCUUGGUAUUGAUCUUAAGUUUCAUUUUCAUUCAAAAAUGUAUAUUUUAAUUAUUUAUUUAGGUUGUAGAUUUUGGUGUAGUCA